rnacentral:rRNA from 1 species
CAGGUGGGCGGGGCCGAAAAAUGCAAGCCGAGCGGAACAGGGGAGCCUGCUUCCCGCUGACGAGCGGCGGAGGGAGAGGGGCGCGUGAGAAUUGCCCAUAGUGGGGGAUACUCGGGGAAACAUCGAGCUAAUACCGCAUACGUCCUACGGGACAAAGCAGGGGACCUUUUGGCCUUGCGCUGAUGGAUGAGCCUCGCCGUCGGAUUAGCUUGUUGGUGAGGUAAAGGCUCACCAAGGCGACGAUCCGUAGCUGGUCUGAGAGGAUGAUCAGCCACACCGGGACUGAGACACGGCCCGGACUCCUACGGGAGGCAGCAGUGGGGAAUCUUGGACAAUGGGGGCAACCCUGAUCCAGCCAUGCCGCGUGUGUGAAGAAGGCCUUCGGGUUGUAAAGCACUUUCAGUAGGGAGGAAGGCUUUGGGCUAAUACCCUGAAGUACUUGACGUUACCUACAGAAGAAGCACCGGCUAAUUUCGUGCCAGCAGCCGCGGUAAUACGAAAGGUGCAAGCGUUAAUCGGAAUUACUGGGCGUAAAGCGCGCGUAGGCGGUGUGUUAAGUCGGAUGUGAAAGCCCAGGGCUCAACCUUGGAAUUGCAUCCGAUACUGGCACGCUAGAGUGCAGUAGAGGGAGGUGGAAUUUCCGGUGUAGCGGUGAAAUGCGUAGAGAUCGGAAGGAACACCAGUGGCGAAGGCGGCCUCCUGGACUGACACUGACGCUGAGGUGCGAAAGCGUGGGGAGCAAACAGGAUUAGAUACCCUGGUAGUCCACGCCGUAAACGAUGUCUACUAGCCGUCGGGGUCCUUAGUGACUUUGGUGGCGCAGCUAACGCGAUAAGUAGACCGCCCUGGGGGAGUACGGCCGCAAGGGUUAAAACUCAAUGAAAUUGACGGGGGCCCGCACAGCGUGGAGCAUGGUGGUUAAUCGAAUGCCACGCGAAGAAGUCCUUUAACCCCAGAGGGGGUUCUCCGU